rnacentral:ncRNA from 1 species
UUGCGUUUAGGUUUAAUUUUAGUUUGUUUUACUACUGCUAAUACCCCGUAGGUUGAGGAGCAAAAGGAGGAAUCACCUCGAUGAGGGGCUCAAGUUUGAUUAGCUAGUUGGUGAGACAAUAGCUUACCAAGGCGAUGAUCAGUAGUUGGUCCGAGAGGAUGAUCAGCCACAUUGGGACUGAGACAUGACCCAGACUCCUACAGGAGGCAGCAGUGAGAAUUUUUUGCAAUGGGCGAAAGCUUGGCGGAGCAAUGCCGCGUGGAGGUAAAAGGCCCAUGGGUUGUGAACUUCUUUUCCCGAAAAAGAAGCAAUGAUGGUAUUUGGGAAAUAAGCAUCGGCUAACUCUGUGCCAGCAGCCAUGAUAAUACAAAGGAUGCAA